CGGGGGGGGUAAGCGUUGUUCGGAAUUACUGGGCGUAAAGGGCUCGUAGGCGGCCAACUAAGUCAUACGUGAAAUCCCUCAGCUUAACUGGGGAACUGCGUGUGAUACUGGAUGGCUUGGAUUUGGGAGAGGGAUGCGGAAUUCCAGGUGUAGCGGUGAAAUGCGUAGAUAUCUGGAGGAACACCGGUGGCGAAGGCGGCAUCCUGGACCAGUAUUGACGCUGAGGAGCGAAAGCCAGGGGAGCAAACGGGAUUAGAUACCCCGGUAGUCCUGGCCCUAAACGAUGAAUGCUUGGUGUAGCGGGUAUCGAUCCCUGCUGUGCCGAAGCUAACGCAUUAAGCAUUCCGCCUGGGGAGUACGGUCGCAAGGCUG
rnacentral:rRNA from 1 species